AUACGGAGGGUGCAAGCGUUACUCGGAAUCACUGGGCGUAAAGCGCGCGCAGGCGGUUUUUUAAGUUGGAUGUGAAAUCCUAUAGCUUAACUAUAGAACUGCAUCCAAAACUAUUAGACUAGAGUCUGGGAGAGGUAAGUGGAAUUAGUUGUGUAGGGGUAAAAUCCGUAGAGAUAACUAGGAAUACCAAAAGCGAAGGCGACUUACUGGAACAGUACUGACGCUGAGGCGCGAAAGCGUGGGGAGCAAACAGGAUUAGAAACCCCGGUAGUCC
rnacentral:rRNA from 1 species